GAUGAACGCUGGCGGCGUGCCUAACACAUGCAAGUCGAGCGAACAGACGAGGAGCUUGCGCCCUUGACGUUAGCGGCGGACGGGUGAGUAACACGUGCAUCACCUACCUAUAAUACUGGGAUAACUUCGGGAAAACGGAGCCAAUACCGGAUCAUAUAUUCAACCGCAUGGAUCAAUAGAGAAAGACGGCUUUCCUGUCACUUUUAGACGGUUCCGGGUCGGAUUAGCUAGUUGGUAAGGUAACGGCCUACCAAGGCAACGAUGCGUAGCCGACCUGAGAGGAUGAUCAGCCACACUGGAACUGAGACACGGUCCAGACUCCUACGGGAGGCAGCAGUAGGGAAUAUUCGACAAUGGGCGCAAGCCUGACGGAGCAAUACCGCGUGGGUGAUGAAGGUCUUCGGAUCGUAAAGCUCUGUUAUUGGGAAAGAAAAGCAGUAGAUGUAAAUAUGGACGUCUUGACGGUACCUAAACAGAAAGCAACGGCUAACUUCGUG
rnacentral:rRNA from 1 species